rnacentral:rRNA from 1 species
CCUACGGGUGGCAGCAGUAGGGAAUAUUGCUCAAUGGGGGAAACCCUGAAGCAGCAACGCCGCGUGGAGGGUGAAGGUUUUCGGAUUGUAAACUCCUUUUGUUAGAGAAGAUAAUGACGGUAUCUAACGAAUAAGCACCGGCUAACUCCGUGCCAGCAGCCGCGGUAAUACGGAGGGUGCAAGCGUUACCCGGAAUCACUGGGCGUAAAGAGCGCGUAGGCGGGAUAGCAAGUCAGAAGUGAAAGCCCAGGGCUUAACCCCAGGACUGCUUUUGAAACUGUAUGUCUAGAGUACAGGAGGGGUAGGCGGAAUUCUUGGUGUAGCGGUGAAAUGCGUAGAUAUUAGGAGGAACACCGGUGGCGAAGGCGACCUGCUGGACUGUGACUGACGUUGAGGCGCGAAGGCGUGGGGAGCAAACAGGAUUAGAUACCCGGGUAGUC